rnacentral:lncRNA from 1 species
AAACGACAAAACAUCAUGCCGUCUGCAAAAUCCUACAUUCAAGCUUGCAUGCUUUUUUCUUCCCCGCGAGGGAGACGAUGGAGGGGAAAGGUAAGGAGUUAGCGGUUGGCUCUGGUCUGAGCAAGUCCCUUGAUGAAUCACGUGUGGACAGUCACAGCUAUUACCUGGCGCGUCGAACCACCAUGGAGAUGCUCCGAGACAGAGGAUACGAUAUCUCAAAUGAAGACAUUAACCUCACUUUACAGGAGUUUCGAGCGCUCUACGGCGACCGGCCCAACGUAGAUAGACUCCGUAUCUCAGCACAACAUUGUUCUGAUUCUUCAAAAAAGGUAAACUCCAAUGCCAUGCAGAAUGUAAUAUCGAUUUUAGAACAUUGUUCUGGAACCAAUAUCAAUCUGCAUGUUGAUAUUUUUCUGCCAAGGUGACAAAAUAUUCGAAGUAGUAUUCCAUGAAUAAGGAAUAUUUACUAUUUUCUAAUAACUUUAUGGAAGUAAAUUCUAGGCUAUCUCGUAAUCUGUGAAAUGUUAUGUAUUCGUACUAAUAAAGUGAUUAUAGAUCUCUGACAAAAAGUAUUGUUUCUUUGAAGAAAGCCUUAUAUAUGUAUGGACAUCUCAUGAAACAUUUAGCUUUAGCUUCCAAAUUUUAAAGAGCUAAUAUACAUAGUUCGUGGCUCUGCUAUGCACCAAGCAAUUUUCUGUUUUGAAUAUCAGAUAGCUGUUGUGUUUUGCGGAAGUGGUAUAGUUAAAGUCAGUGCGAUACGCGACAUCGCAGCCGAUGUACUUGGUCGAGAAAAUUUAACCGGACUGAUAUUGGUUCUCCAAAGUGAUAUAACAAAUCAAGCUCUAAAAGCCGUUGAACUUUUCUCUUUUAAAGUCGAGUUAUUCCAGGUAUGUUUAUCUUGAUACUUUGUUUAAUUAAUUAUGAUCGGUUGCUUUGACUUAAUUCUUGGUAGAUUUGUAACUUUGUGUUUUUUUUCUGUUGUUAGUUAACCGAACUGUUGGUUAACAUAACCAAACAUGUCUUGAGGCCAAAACAUCAUGUUCUGAAUGAGCAAGAGAAGGAAUCACUCUUCAAGAAGUUCAGUAUUCAGGAGCAACAAGUAAGAAAGUCUUUUUUUUGGUACUUGGAUCAUUGCUAGCUAGGAACUCUGAGCUUUCUUUGAGUCAAAACAUUUUAAAAAUGUUAUUUUUCGCUUUUGUUAGCUUCCAAAGUUAUUGAAGAAAGACCCGACAGCGAAAUACUACGGACUAGAGAAAGGGCAAGUCGUGGAGGUCACAUACAAGGGCGAGGGCAGUGAAUCUGAUCAUGUUUCAUACCGAUGCGCUUGGUAAAUCUCGUUUUGUUUUUAUUCUUAGCUCUCUUUGUAUGUGUCAAUAUAUGUAUCACAUGUCUUGAUGUCAAAAGCUGUAAACUCUUGUGUGUUUCUUGUGGUUCUCAACCAAACAAUAUCUGCUGAUAUAAAGCCCUUUGUCAAAAAAAAAAAAAGGCGCGUCGAACCACCAUGGAGAUGCUCCGAGACAGAGGAUACGAUAUCUCAAAUGAAGACAUUAACCUCACUUUACAGGAGUUUCGAGCGCUCUACGGCGACCGGCCCAACGUAGAUAGACUCCGUAUCUCAGCACAACAUUGUUCUGAUUCUUCAAAAAAGGUAAACUCCAAUGCCAUGCAGAAUGUAAUAUCGAUUUUAGAACAUUGUUCUGGAACCAAUAUCAAUCUGCAUGUUGAUAUUUUUCUGCCAAGGUGACAAAAUAUUCGAAGUAGUAUUCCAUGAAUAAGGAAUAUUUACUAUUUUCUAAUAACUUUAUGGAAGUAAAUUCUAGGCUAUCUCGUAAUCUGUGAAAUGUUAUGUAUUCGUACUAAUAAAGUGAUUAUAGAUCUCUGACA